AGCGAACGCUGGCGGCAGGCCUAACACAUGCAAGUCGAGCGCCCCGCAAGGGGAGCGGCAGACGGGAGAGUAACACGUGGGAACGUACCCUUCAGUUCGGAACAACCAAGGGAAACUUUGGCUAAUACCGGAUACGUCCGUAAGGAGAAAGAUUUAUCGCUGAAGGAUCGGCCCGCGUCUGAUUAGCUAGUUGGUGAGGUAACGGCUCACCAAGGCGACGAUCAGUAGCUGGUCUGAGAGGAUGAUCAGCCUCAUUGGGACUGAGACACGGCCCAAACUCCUACGGGAGGCAGCAGUGGGGAAUAUUGGACAAUGGGCGCAAGCCUGAUCCAGCCAUGCCGCGUGGGUGAUGAAGGCCCUAGGGUUGUAAAGCCCUUUCGGCGGGAAGAUAAUGACGGUACCCGCAGAAGAAGCCCCGG
rnacentral:rRNA from 1 species